rnacentral:lncRNA from 1 species
GCCCACUCAAAAGAAUCACUAUUGAAAAACUCGCUUGGAAGAUAGAUUGCACCGGUUGAAUUAAAAGGCUUGAAAGAGAGAACAUCCUCGAAAGAUCUUGAACGAAAGUAGAGUGGAAACACGAAUCUUCUAGAUAUCUUGAGCACUCCGGAACAAUUGAAUAGCGAGAAAUGAAUUAAUAUGAAGAGUACCGGCAUGAGAAGGUAUUUGAAACGAGGAAAGGAUAUGAUAUGAUCAACAAAGCUUGAAUUGAAAACACCAGAGAAAAAAAUUUAAGAAUGAUGAACGUGUAGAGCAUCUUCACGAGAACCACCGGGUAAGAAUAUUGAUGGAACAGAAUGGGGAGACUUCAUAUCCAUAAGAUGGAUGCUUGAUUAAGACAUCUGAGUCCUUGAGGGAAAAAAGGGUGGGCGGGCGGGAAAAACAAAGGCAGCUUGGGACGAAUGAAACAAACAACAUUGAGAAGAACUGAUAAUUGAUCUUGCGAAUGUUGACGUGAUCGGAUCCACUUGAAGAGAGACACACCGGUUGAACAAAAUUGGCAUGACAAUCUCGAUUAUCAAGAAGGAUUAGUAUUCGCAUAGGAAUAUGAGAACACCGCUUAGAAAAGUUAUGGAAUUAGCAUUUGACUUCGAAGCAACUCGAAUACCACAACUCCAAACAAACACAAAGGAUUGCCUUGAAGAAUAAGCCGGAACAAACAUAUGAUUGAGAUUUCGUCUGAAGUUUCAUGGUGGGGCCCACACGGGCUUGAUCGUACAACACCAUCAUGUACAAGGAAGUGCACAUGACAUACGAAGCGUCCCCGAGUCGGCAUAGCCAAGGACUAUUUAAGACAUAACGAGACCAUUGUAAAACCAACCGUGAAUAGGUGGACCACUAGACGUCGAACACCAAUUUCAUAUCAUACAUCUGUCGGAAAGAUAUCCUAAGAGCUACUUGAAUUCCCACUUAUAAACUCCUGAAACUUUCCGGUUAUGCAAUCAGGUGUUGGGGAUACAGGGGAAGCAUAAUAUCUCACCCAAAACUAGCAAAUCCUACAUCCAGUUGUAUCAAUCCUUCAACACAUAACCAAGAAACCUUCGGAAAUCGUCUACCUCAACCUUCGAAAAGCAUCCGUUAUACGAGUUAUGGUGAUACUCCAAAUUCCUGCCACAGUACUGGGUGGCGUCGAGGUUAUCUCACCAACAACUGCAUAAAAGAGAUUUUCGAUGUUGGCAAAAAAAACUCAGGUAUUCUAGAAUUGCAACGAUAAAAUUGUGACGAAAACACCUCGGAGGUCAACUCCCCGAGACACUGCCACAACCCCUAAAUGUCAGGAGGCACCAAGAACAAUGUUCUCGUCACAAAACCAUCGGAAUGAUUCCAAGAUACCCGCGUGAUCCUAAAUUUUUUUUGUGAAGUUUGAGAAGAGAAGAGUCAAAACUCUACGUCGGGAUGCCUCACCAGAGCGACGAAGGGACUAUGGAGUAAAAAGAAUCCCUAAUCUCAGAUAUAUAUAAUCCUAAAUGACUCAAAACAUUUUUCUAGACUCAACAACGCCAAUGAUUCGAUCAAGCAGGGGGCUCCUAAGUCGGGGAAGGCUCUGAUUACCAACUUGUAACGCCCACGAUGCGGCUAUAUCUCCCACGUGUUGAAGCACGACUUAGAGGCAUAACCGCAUUGUAAGCAAUGUCGCAAGUGAGAUAAUCUUCACACAACCCAUGUAAUACAUAAGGGAAAGAGAUACAUAGUUGGCUUACAAUCGCCACUUCACACAAUUACAUGAAUAAAGCAUUACAUCAACCAGAUACAAUCAAGGUCCGACUACGGAACCAAAAUAAAAGAAGACUACCCCAAAUGCUACAUAGAUCGCCGAUCGUCCCAACUGGGCUCCACUACUGAUCAACGGGAAAUGGAACAAUAUAACGAACACGAUCUUCAUCGAGCUCCUCCUUGAGCUCGGUUGCGUCACCUGCACGGCAUCAUCGGCACCUGCAAGCUGGUUUUGGAAGUAAUCUAUGAGUCACGGGGACUCAGCAAUCUCACACCCUCGCGAUCAAGACUAUUUAUUCUUAUAGGAAGGGUAAAAGUAUGAGGUGGAGCUGCAGCUAGCGACUAGCAUAUUUGGUGGCUAACAUACGCAAAGGAGAGCGAGAAGAGAGAGGCAAAGGCACGAUCGAGAAAGUAUGAUCAAGAAGUGAUCCUAGAUCAACCUACGAUCAAGCAUAACUCCAACACCAUGUUCACUUCCCGGACCCCGCUGAGAAGAGACCAUCACGGUAACACACACGGUUGAUGCAUUUUAAUUAAGAUAAACUUCAAGUUUUUUACAACCGGACAUUAACAAAUUCCCAUCCGCCCAUAACCGCGGGCACGGCUUUCAAAAGUUCAAAACCCUGCAGGAGUGUCCCAACUUAGCCCAUCACAAGCUCUCACGGUCAACGAAGGAUAUUCCUUCUCCCAAGAUAAUCCGAUCAGACUCGACAUCCUAGUUACAAGACAUCCUCGACAAUGGUAAAACAAGUCCAGCAACACCGCCCGAAUGUGCCGACAAAUCCCGAUAGGAGCUGCACAUAUCUCGUUCUCAGGGCACACUCAGAUGAGACAUCCUACGAGUAAAAUGAAGCCUCAAGUUGCCCUGAGGUGGCCCCGCAGUCUACUCGGUCGGACCAACACUUAGAGGAGCACUAGCCCAGGGGGGGUUUAAAUAAAGAUGACCCUUGAGUUUGCGGAACCCAAGGGAAAAAGAGGCUAGGUGGCGAAUGGUAAAACCAAUGUUGGGCAUUGCUGGAGGAGUUUUAUUCAAGGCAAACUGUCAAGGGGUUCCCAUUAUAACCCAACAGUGUAAGGAACGCAAAAUUCGGGAACAUAACACCGAUAUGACGGAAAACUAGGGCGGCAAGAGUGGAACAAAACACCAGGCAUAAGGCCGAGCCUUCCACCCUUUACCAAGUAUAUAGAUGCAUUAAUUAAAUAAGAGAUAUUGUGAUAUCCCAACAAAAUAUCCGUGUUCCAACAAGGAACAAACUCCAAUCCUCACCUGCAACUAGCAACGCUAUAAGAGGGGCUGAGCAAAGCGGUAACAUAGCCAAACAACGUUUUGCUAGGACAAGGUGGGUUAGAGGCUCAUGGCAAUAUGGGAGGCAUGAUAAGCAAGUGGUAAGUAUCACAGCAUAGGCAUAGAAAAAAGAGCGAGCAACUAGCAAGCAAAGAUAGAAGUGAUUUCGAGGGUAUGGUCAUCUUGCCCGAGAUCCCGCAAGGAAGAAGAACAAGUCCAUGAAGAAGACAAACGGUCGUAGUCGAACGGAUCCUCACAAACACGACAUUAUCGGAACCAACCCGAAGAAGCACACCGGAAAGAAGCAAACAACAUAGUAAACAACCACCACAUCAACAUAGCAUGAUGCACAAUCGGGUAUGAUGCAUGACCGGUUUAAUGAAGCAUGGCAUGGAAAAAUGCACAGACAAUCCUACAAAUUAAGUGGAGCUCAAUAUGCAACUCCGUUGCAUAUUGACGAAACACCACAUUCAAGUUAUUUAGUUCGAUCUCAUUUAUUUACCCAACAAUAUUAAAUGUUGUUAAACAUGGCAAGAGGGUGAAGAAAAGUAAAACUACCUAUCUAGUCAAGUUUCAAUGAGGCCGGAAACAACGAACAACAAUCCCGGAAAAUCCUCAUAUGCAUAUAUUAGGUUUGGUACUGUUCUGCCCUAAACCAUAUUUUAUAGUUGUUAAACAUGCAAAGUGAUGCCACCAUGUUAAACUAGGCAUUUUUCUACCCCAUUUACAUAUAAAGAUUGAUUAAAUCCGAGCUACGAUUAAAUAGUUAAGAAUUAAAUCAUUUUAGCAAGUUAUUCAAGCAAAUUUAAACAAACAAACUUUUAAGCAUUUUAAACAUGGAUUAAAAUGACAUACUCCCUCCGUUCCUAUAUAUAGGGUGUAUAGUUUUUGGCACAGAAAUUAAAGAACACACAUGGAGGAAAAUUUUCACAAGUUUUGGGCGAGAUUACACCUGAUUAAUUGGCAUGCGAAAAUAGAGGAGGUUGCCUAAUAUAAGGAAAUGUAAUCAAAUCCCUAAAAAAAUUAUCCAAACGUGUGGUGCAACGCAAUUCACCUUAUAUUUCGGGUUUUUUCUCAAAAAUCUAUACACCAUAUAUCAAGGAACGGAGGGAGUAUUAUGAAACUAGAUGAAAAACUAAGCAUAUUUCAUAUAUAAAUUAUUUUAAUAUGAUGCACGGUUGGUGAGUUAUGAAAUGCAUGCACUAGAGGGACUAAUAUGUAAAACAACAGUUUUUUUGAAAAUAGCUAAAUUACAGCAGCAGGAAAAAAACUACUAGGCCGAGUCUGAAAUAGGGCAGGCGCUGGGGCGGCUCACCCAUGGGCUUCAGCUCGUUUGUGGAGAGGCUUGUGGAUCUGGCGGCCCAUGGCGAUGGCAACGCAGAGGCGGGCGCUGGGCCUUACCGGUCUGGGCCGUGUGCAGGCUGUAGUGGGCCACAAGCGCGAAGAGGAAGCAGGGAGCGAUGCGGUCAACGAGUGCGGUGAGGCCCUCGUCUCCUUGUUCGAAUCAGGGGAAGCAGGGCGACGGCGCGAGAGGAACCGGGCGGAGGUGAGGAACCCUUGGCGUGAAUCCAUGGCGGCGCCGGACGCUGAUGACGGGGCGCAGGGGUCCAGGACCAGUGAGGAGGAGAGGGGCGGCCAAUGUUCCUGGGGCUUGGCCGGCUCAUUGAAGACGAGAAGCAGCGGGUCAACGCAGGCGGCGGCUCGCUGCAACGCAGAGACGAGGCGGGGACGGACUUGGUGCAGCGGAGCUCGGGGCCAUGGCGAGCGGAGCACCUGUGAAGGGGAAGAGAGAGGUCAGGGACGGGCAAGAGGAGAGGAAGCACGGGAAGGAGAGGGGCGGCACUGUUCCUGGUGGACGAGAGAGGAGGCAGGGGCUUCGGGAGAGCGAGGAGGAUCUCCACUCCUCUAGAUCGAAGAGGGAGGAGGAAACUCUCGAUCGAGACGGCGGGGUAUUCUGGCGGCUUCAAACCAAAGAGCUCGGGCUGGAGCAACGGUUGGUGGGAGGAGGAAUGGGAGGAUGCCGAUGUGGAUUCGGUGGAGUAGCGGCAACGAUGGGACAAACCCCCUAGAUUUUAGGGUUGCUGCCUAGGUCUAUAUAUAACACACUGGAUUUUGGUUAGGGGCUAUCUGGAGCCUCCGAUCAAAAUCGAAUGGUUCAGAAAGAAUAGGAUGGGGAGUCCAAAUAGUAGAACGGUGAUAUUUUGUAGAUGUUUGGGGGUGUUCCGCACCCAACGGUGAUGACUAUCCGGGUCGGGUUCAGGACAGUUUCGGACACGCAUGCGAGGGGUCGAUUGGAACUUGUGGGCUGUGCAGAAGGGCUCGAGCUGAGAAAAAAGAAGAGAGAGAGGCCCGGCGACUGUUUCGGAGACCGAAAACGUCCGACGAAAAGACCGACUACUAUUGCCGCUAUAUUUAUCCGUUGGGGCAUCAAUCGAUCUCCGAAUGCGAUGAAAUUUGGCAGGCGGUCUAUCUACAGUAUAAUAAGACCGCACGCCAACUUUCAGCCCAUUCCGAGAACAUUUUAUGGCCACUUAUAAAAUAAUAUUUCGGACAUGCCGCGGGCGCGUGCAAAUGUGGUUGGGUUCAGAACGGACAACAGACGGAACUGGGGAACCCGGACAGAUGAAAGUUUUGAAAACAUGAUGAUGCAAUGCAGAUGAUGACAUGAUCAAAAGCAACACACAAGCGAAUGACAUGGCAAUGACGAAUAACUAGAAGACACCUAGCGCAAUGGUCUCGGGGCGUCACAACACUCCACCACUACGAGAGGAUCUCGUCCCGAGAUCUAGAAUGGCACCGGAGGGAAAAAGGAAGAGGAAGAGAACAGGUAAAACUAAGUUGCUUCUUGACAAAAGAGUAAACCAAAGAACCUUGCGAGGUUAAAAAAAUUGAAAUAAGGAAGCCAACAAAGAUGCAAGAAGUUGAGAACACUCCGAUAGAUAAGAGGAACAUGGGAUACGAUGAGAAUCUAUAAGUUAAGUGGCAAGAUAGAUAUUGAAACCACUUCGGUUAAAACAAGAUAGAGAAGGAAUAAGACUGAUAUAAUUUGGGCAGCACUCCGACUGCAAAUGGAAGGAAAUAAACUUGAAUUUGGGAAGAUUGGAUGAUACUUGAUGAAAACAACAACACACUGCCUCCAGAUUUAUUGAAAGAAUGGCACAAAGGGUAAGAAAGAUUUCAGGCUGCACUUCGGUUGAGAAGGGAGGCAAAACUUGAUAAUAUGAGAAAACUUGAAAAGAGGGCACGACACUUCGGUUAAAUGGAUAAGCACGAAAAGAACAUGAUCUUGGCAAAACGAGAUGAUAGGACGAAGAGAACAACAUCACCAUGCCUCCGGAACAAAUGAAUGAAAAACUAGAUGGUUGGAAAGAAAAGAAAAACGGAGAAGAAGAAUGACAACUCUCGCAAAUAAAAUUGAAAGAGCAUGCUUACGAAGAACAGGUUGAACGGAGUUGUUGGAUUAUCAACAACGAAAAGAACAAGGUUGAUAUGGACUUAUAGAAGACAUAUCAAAAUUAUGAGGUGACAACUUGCCACUCACGGAAAAGAUUUUAUUGGGAGCUAGAAAAAGAUAGAAAUCUUCUUCCACCGAGGUGAUAAGGAUAAAACUUGGAUCAUAGGUAAUCACCACAAAGAGCAACAUUCCCAAUGGAAGGCUUUAGGUGAUAUUUAUACCAAGAUAACUCCAUGGAAGAAAGUGAUGGGUUUAAAAUAUCUCAUUCUUGAUAACUUGUGAAUCAUGAAGCACACAGAAAUUGUCAAAAAUGACAUAAUACCACCUCAAAAUAUAAGAUAGAGCGAAUUGGACUUUGAGAUACUAGAUGAAGAAUCCUUGAGCUCCUCUAAAAAGAAUGUUGAUGAACACUUCGAGAAGGAAUUAAAUCCUUGAUGAACCAUCAUGUAGAACCUUCAUGGAGAACUCCGUUAAACAAAAGAAUGAUCAAACGGAAGGAAAGAGAAGUUGAAAACACAGGGUGAAGCCUUGCGAUGAUUUAGAUGGAACUUCACGACGAGAUAAUUGAGAGAGCUUGGAACUCUGGAAAAGAAAGAAGAACAACUGAAAUCAAGAAUUUGAUGAGCCUCCGGAAUAAGGAAUUAAUCAUUUGGGUGAAACAAGAAUAAGAAUUAUGUUAUGCGCAUCCUCCACCAAUUAAAUUGAUGAGAAUCAACGGAUUUGGCAUACUACUUAUACUCGUAGAAAGGAUUAAGAGAGAUAUAAUCAAACUUGAGAAGGUCUUCAACGAACCACCGGUCGGGUUGAAACAACUAAUAAAUUGAUAUGAUAGCCAUGGAAGAGAAUCCUGGAAGAAAACACCGUAAUAAUUUAAAAUGAAUGAAUAAAAGAGAUGAAUCACCGGUAAGAAAUUGAAAAUGAACAAAGAUACUUGAGACAAUCUAGAUACGUGAGAACGAAGGGAUCAUGAACCGAUUAGAGAUCACUUGAACAAUGCACCGAUAAGAUUGGAGAAUGAUAACUGAUAGCUGAGAAUGAAUAAACCUGAAUUGAUGGACUCCGGAUAACAAACUGAGAAGACUCUUGAAUUGCUUCGGAUGGGUGAAAAGAAUUCCCACAAUCGAAAAUAAUUAUGAGAGGAUGGCAACAAGCUAGAAUCACGAAUCUCUGAGAGAACGAACAAGAUUUGGAGGUAAAACUCUUCUUCGGUCUUCAAAUGUUGAGAAUGACGAUGAGAAACACCCCCAAGAAUUAUUGAGGCACUCCGGAAUAAGAAUGGAAAAGGUUGAGCCAACGAUGAAAAGAAUUUGAAAGAUCUUGGAGAAAGACAUUUGACUGAUGAUAAUUCAUUCUUACGUCAAACUUCGAAAAGAAUUUGAGAGUAACUCCAUGGAAGAUUAGAAGAGUCAGGUAAGAUCCUGGGAAAGGACCUGUGGGUUAGGGCGCACUCAAAAGAAACACCGUUGAAAAACUCUCUUGGAAGAUAGAUUGCACCGGUUGAAUUAAAAGGCUUGAAUGAGAGAACAUCCUCGAAAGAUCUUAAACGAAAGUAGCAUGGGAACACGAAUCUUCUAGAUAUCUUGAGCACUCCGGAACAAUUGAAUAGCGAGAAAUGAAUUAAUAUGAAUAGUACCGGCAUGAGAAGGUAUUUGAAACGAGGAAAGGAUAUGAUCAACAAAGCUUGAAUUGAAAACAC